GUUCAAGAAUCUUGAACAAGAAUGGCAGGGAGGUAUGGUUCUUCCGGCGGAGUAGCAUCGACGACGAUGAACGUAACUAAUACGCCGGCGAAAGAUCUUGCUUACACCAAUUGCGCAUAUUGUUCUCCUACAGAUCUCAGAAACUUUCUUGUUCCGGGAUCCAAGUUUGCUUAUGCACUCAUCGCUGAUGCUUUUAUUCUCACUCUUGCUGCCCACGACGCCAUUCCUAAUGGUCAACUUGGUCUUAAUGCGAUUCAAAGACGUUAUGCCAAAGUUUCCACUGGAGACGCUAUAUCUGUUAGCAGAUUUAUUCCACCUGAGGACUUCAAUCUUGCUUUACUUACCCUUGACUUGGAGUUUGUGAAAAAAGGGACCAAAGAGGAGCAGGUGGAUGCAGUUUCUUUGGCUAAUCAAGUUCGCAAGAGAUUUGCUAAUCAGAUUAUGACAACUGGGCAAAAGGUGACAUUAGAGUUUCAUGGCAAUGGUUAUAUAGUCACUGUGAAUCAAGCUACUGUGGAGGGGCAAGAAAAAUCUAAUGUUGAAAGAGGGAUGGUUUCAGCUGACACAUACAUUAUAUUUGAAGCCGCUAACUCCAGCGGAAUAAAGAUUGUCAAUCAACGUGAAGCUGCUAGCAGCAGCAUCUUUAGGCAGAAAGAAUUCAAUCUUGAAUCAUUGGGCAUAGGUGGUCUUGGUGCAGAGUUUUCUGAUAUUUUUCGAAGAGCUUUUGCUUCCAGGGUUUUCCCUCCCCACGUGACAAGCAAGCUUGGUAUCAAGCAUGUUAAGGGAAUGCUUCUCCAUGGACCUCCUGGUACAGGGAAGACUCUAAUGGCUCGGCAGAUUGGCAAAAUGUUAAAUGGCAAGGAACCUAAGAUUGUCAAUGGACCUGAAGUGUUGAGCAAGUUCGUCGGUGAAACUGAAAAAAAUGUGAGGGAUUUGUUUGCUGAUGCUGAGCAAGACCAAAAAACCAAAGGUGACCAAAGUGAACUGCAUGUUAUUAUCUUUGAUGAAAUUGAUGCAAUCUGUAAGUCUAGAGGAUCAACUAGAGAUGGAACUGGUGUGCAUGAUAGCAUUGUUAACCAGCUCCUAACCAAGAUAGAUGGGGUGGAAUCUCUGAAUAAUGUUUUGCUCAUUGGAAUGACAAAUAGGAAAGAUCUGCUUGAUGAAGCACUUAUGAGGCCAGGGCGACUAGAAGUCCAAGUGGAGAUAAGCCUUCCUGAUGAAAAU
rnacentral:misc_RNA from 1 species